rnacentral:rRNA from 1 species
GACGAACGCUGGCGGCGUGCUUAACACAUGCAAGUCGAACGAAGAGCGAUGGAAGCUUGCUUCUAUCAAUCUUAGUGGCGAACGGGUGAGUAACGCGUAAUCAACCUGCCCUUCAGAGGGGGACAACAGUUGGAAACGACUGCUAAUACCGCAUACGAUCUAAUCUCGGCAUCGAGGAUAGAUGAAAGGUGGCCUCUACAUGUAAGCUAUCACUGAAGGAGGGGAUUGCGUCUGAUUAGCUAGUUGGAGGGGUAACGGCCCACCAAGGCGAUGAUCAGUAGCCGGUCUGAGAGGACGAACGGCCACAUAGGGACUGAGACACGGGCCAGACUCCUACGGGAGGCAGCAGUGGGGAAUCUUCCGCAAUGGACGAAAGUCUGACGGAGCAACGCCGCGUGAGUGAUGACGGCCGUCGGGUUGUAAAGCUCUGUUAAUCGGGACGAAAGGCCUUCUUGCGAAUAGUGAGAAGGAUUGACGGUACCGGAAUAGAAAGCCACGGCUAACUACGUG